rnacentral:rRNA from 1 species
ACAGCAGCCGCCGCGGUAAAACGGAGGGAGCUAGCGUUGUUCGGAAUUACUGGGCGUAAAGCGCGCGUAGGCGGUUACUCAAGUCAGAGGUGAAAGCCCGGGGCUCAACCCCGGAACUGCCUUUGAAACUAGGUGACUAGAAUCUUGGAGAGGUCAGUGGAAUUCCGAGUGUAGAGGUGAAAUUCGUAGAUAUUCGGAAGAACACCAGUGGCGAAGGCGACUGACUGGACAAGUAUUGACGCUGAGGUGCGAAAGCGUGGGGAGCAAACAGGAUUAGAUACCCCGGUAGUCCCUGUCUCUUAUAC